rnacentral:lncRNA from 1 species
UAAUAUCCUAAACACUAUCUAAGAAUCAAUUCUUCCCGUAUUAAAACUAAAGCCCUCUUAAACGGUUCUUUUAUACUUAGAUAUUCCAUUACAAAAGAAAAAAGUUUUAUCUCGCACCCUUCUUUAAUCAAACCCCAAUAUACCAAGAAAUUAAGUGCUUCGUUUAGGAACAUGGUUACCCCGCAUAGACAUAGCCUCUUCGUACACCGAGUACAUGAAUAAUGAGGAAUCUCGAUCCUAAGCGAAGAACAAUGUUAUGGUUGAUCUCUCAGUCUCAUUUUUCACUCAUUUCUCUACCAAAAUUCCCCCACAAUAACUCUCUUGAAAGGACAAAACUUAAUGCUCCUGAAACCUCUUUGGAAAUCCAGACAGGUCCUGAGGAGUUCAUAGAUCAAAUUCCUACGCAUGGCCUGAAGUCAUCAUGCAGAUUAUUAAGAACAAGGAGGUGCAUGGAUGUCAAAGAUGCGAGAGAAAGGGAGAAGAUUCUUCAAGCUGUGGGGACUGACAUAAUUUGAAUGUUUUGAAGAGAAUUAUUCAGACCACAACAUGGGUACAUGAUAGAUAAUUGGGGAUAAUCCAUGACAAGCCAUUCUCCUACAUAAACAGGCUCUAUAUGUGGAAUUUCAAGUCGCCUUGUGGGACGAUAUGCGACAGCCCCGAUAUAUAUAUUUAUCUACUCUUUGCUUGUAAGUGCAAGGUGUUAACCUUUUCCAAGAUUUACUGCAAAUAAAUGGAAUUAUGAAUUUACAAUAUAUAUAUAUAAUCCAACCCCAUUUUUAAUUUCCAAUCAAAGGAAUGAAUGAAAUUGGAGAAUUCACUCUGGAUUGAACUCCUUUAUUUCAAGGGUAAAUGAUAUAUUAUGUUGGUGAAAACCAAAUUAUCAGUUUAAACCUCAAUGAUUAAGAUUUUAUUUUAUAUUAAAUGGUUAGAAUUUUCUUCAAAUUAACAAUUAUUUUUUUCUAUAAAAAUCUAAGAUUUGGAUUACUCCUAAUUAGGAGUCAAAUCCCAAGCAGUUUUACUUGAAAUUCAAACUUCAGGAAAAACUUGUGUAUCACAUAAAUAGUUAACAACUCAUUAAAGUCUCAGAAAAAAAUACUGCACUCUAUUUACAUUAUUCAAUAUGUUCAUGAAGUACAGUCUAGUUCUUCGAUUAACUUCACACAUAGAUCAGUGCACCUUUCAUAGAUUUCUUAAAUUCCACCGAUGAUUUUCGACAAGUUUGGAAAUUGUGGUACCUUCAAGAGUCUCAUUUUUCCUCAUGUCGGCCGAGUGAAUUCACAAGCAGCUUGAAUUCUUCUUGACUUUGCUGAGAAUAGGGUUGAAUCUCGAGUCACCAUAACAUCCAACUCAAAUAUGCCGGCAGAUUAUACUCCGUUCCUGUUGACUUACUGUCCUUAAAUUGUCGCAUUUCUAGAUUUGCAGCCACGUAUUUCAUUUAUUCGGUAGCCUCUUACGUUCAAAGAGAUAAAAAGAGCCGAAAAGAUUGCUUGAAGUUUUGAACAGACAAAAUAAAAGAUUUGUAAUGCUUCCUUUAUCAUACCUUUUCUUUUAGAAAAUGACAAAGCUUUCGAUAUCUUUUGGUGGAGUGGUUGCUUUAAUUAAUAGAUAAUUUUUUCUUGAUUCCAUAGAAUUCAAACUCGGAUUUUUUUUAAAGGAAAAGGAAGAGAGAAAUUGAGAAAGAAUUAAGUUAUGAUUUGUUGCCAAAGAAAUUUGUCUUUGCAUACAAAUUAUAGUAAUUAAAUAUUAUAUAAUUUUUCACAAGAAUUUUUCUAUGUAUAGGUCAAGGUAUUUUGAAAACUAAUGACUUGCUCACUUUUUAAUUGGGUCUUAGAUAAGCAGUUGUUUACAUUUACAAUUCACUAGAAAAAUUAUUUUUUGCAGCUUCUUUAUAGAUUAAAACUCGAGAUUAUAACAUGAGAAAAUCUCUUUUAUUUAACUAAACUAAUUAAUUACCUGAAAAAUAAUAAAAGACUUCAUAUUCACAAAUUGAGGCAGGCAAUUGGGUAGAGAGUUAGUCCAUUAAUUAUUUUUUUACUAAACAUUAAUGAGAAUAAGAUUUGUCAUUAGAGCAAUGGAAUUUAAACUAAACUAUAAAAUUCAAUGUAUACCAUUUAUAAACUCCUCAUCUCUUAAAACAUUUGUUCUCCUUUAUAAAGAUCGAUCAGCUCAUUCACUGAAAAAAUCUCUUAAUACAUUUUGCAGAGGCAGCGUAUAUAUGAUUUCUCCACAAAGUCAGGCUCUUUGUCUCGGAGGGAAGCCCC